GAAAGAUAUAGUAGAAACCUUCCCCUUUAUCAUAAAUGCAGGCAUAAUGAAGAAAAGACAAAUGGUUUAUUGCUGAACAUGUUAUAUUUGCAAAAGGGGAAGGGGAAGGAUUAAAUAGGUCAAAAGUAACUAAAAGGUAAUAGGAGUUGAUUUGAGGAGGCAAAGAAUCUAAACACAAUAUGGAUUAGCUAACAUAUAACUCAUGUUCAGCAUUCAAUUGAUCCAAUAUAUCUAUACAUGAUAGGGAAAUUACUACAGGAAAAGAAUGCAGCUUAAUUUAUAAACCCUUUU
rnacentral:misc_RNA from 1 species